AUUUCAUUAUACAUGAUUUUUUUAUUUCAUUUCGUGUUUGAAUUCUUUGUUUAAAUUAUGACAGCUGAACUGAGAAAAAGCGUUAAAGAUUUAUUAAGCUGUACGACCCAAGGCAAGCUUAUUACUCAAAUUUUCGAAAAGGAUACUAUCAUCGAUACUCGAUUAAUAUGUAAUUUAAUAAUAAAUUACGAAUUUGAUUUCACUCGGUCUUAUAGGUAAAUAUCAACAGAUUGUUCGAAGGUGUAACAAAAUAAUUUUAUAAAAUAUUCAAUAUAGUGAAAUAAAAAGGGCCAUUUAGAAAUUUUAGGGAUCCUCUUAUAAGAUUUUUAAUUUAUUGCAUACAAAUUAUUUUCAAAAAUAAAAUUUUAUUUUAACAGAAUAACCAAGGAAAGGUUUGUGCAGCUAUCAAAUGAAUUAGGUGCAAUCUUUACAAGUGAAAAUCGGAAAGCUGACGAAAUAGCUCAAAUCUUUUAUUACCCGUUCACAAGAAGUACAAAAACUCGAAAAGCAAUAAAUUGUGGUGGGGCUUUAUAUGAUAAAUAUCUCAAUUAUAGACAAAAAUUAAUUGCGUAUGGCCUUGCAAAGAAGAACGAUUGUGACCAAGGAACAAUUUCACCCUUAUCUGAAGAAGAAAUUAUAAUUAAAUGGUUACAAGAAAAUGAUGAACCACAAGAUGAAGUAAUUAAAAAAUGGAGAGAGUCAUUUCCGUACAGAGAUCGAUGCAAGAAUGUUCUAAAUUACUUUGCCGCUUUCAAAUGUUUAUGUUCUUCUUUUGGAUACAUAUUACUGGAGCAAGACUUUGAUGCAACAUAUCCGACGUCAAUUGAUAAUUUGGAAAAAGAAUGGGAAACCUUAGCUCCACUGAUAGUUUCUAUUACUAAAGAAAAAAAAGGCUAAAUGCCAUCGACAAACAAUUAAUUGAAGCAGGGAAAACAAAUGUUGUUGCUCUUCUCUGUCUUCCUAGACUUUUGGGAAUUCUAGUUCGAAAAAGAAAAAAUUGUGAUUCAUAUUUUGGUAACUCGAUACAAGACGUGACAGACUCUUUUCUUCUUAUCACCAAGUCAAAAGAAGAACUAAUUGAUUUCAAAAAUAAACGAGAGGAACUUAGCACAGCGACGGGAAAUAAAAUUUUGCCUUACUUAGCUUUUGUCGGAGAUAUAGAAAAAGAAGGAGAAGUGGAAUCCGAAAAUGAGAUUGCACAAAAUUCUAGUACCGAAAUUUUCGUUGUCAUUAACAAUAUUGAUUACAAGAUGAAAUCAAACCAAAUUAUUAAAGCUGUUUCUGCUUGCUUCAAAUGUAUGCUUUCAUUAAAUUUGGAAUUUCCAUGUGAAUGCAAACAUAUCUGGACAUUUUUUCAGAAAUAUAUAUACCAAGUGGAAUUGAAUAAUUUAAAGCCAUAUACUUCUGUUAACAAACUGAUUGAAGAUAUAAAUGCAUUAAAAGAAAAAAAUAAUUCUACAAAUCUUGUAAAUUAAGAAAAAUUUGAUCAUUUGAAAUUCUAAAAGUAUAAAGUUUUCAUUUUUGUUAUA